GCGCUCACACUGGUAGCACAUAUACGAAAACUGGAACCACACAGAGAAGAUUAGCUGGCCUCUGCGCAAGGAUGAUAUGCAAAUUCGUGAAACAUUCCCUUUUUUU
rfam:Erinaceus europaeus unplaced genomic scaffold scaffold00023, whole genome shotgun sequence